GAUGAACGCUAGCGGCAGGCCUAACACAUGCAAGUCGAGGGGCAUCAUGGCGUAGCAAUACGCUGAUGGCGACCGGCGCACGGGUGCGUAACGCGUAUGGAACCUACCCACCGCAGGGGGAUAACCCGCCGAAAGGCGGACUAAUACCCCAUGGUUCCCCGACCCUGCCUGGGGUUGGGGGUAAAGCCUACGGGCGGCGGUGGAUGGCCCUGCGUGCCAUUAGCUGGCUGGUGGGGUAACGGCCCACCAGGGCGACGAUGGCUAGGGGGUCUGAGAGGACGAUCCCCCACACUGGUACUGAGACACGGACCAGACUCCUACGGGAGGCAGCAGUGAGGAAUAUUGGUCAAUGGGGGCAACCCUGACGCAGCAACGCCGCGUGAGUGAGGAAGGUUUUCGGACCGUAAAGCUCUGUCGAGUGGGAAGAAAUGUAUCGUGGCUAAUAUCCAUGAUACUUGACGGUACCGCUAAAGGAAGCACCGGCUAACUCCGUGCCAGCAGCCGCGGUAAU
rnacentral:rRNA from 1 species